UAGAUGUCCUGACCGACUUGCCAAAACUAUAGUUUGUUAACAAGAAAUUUGUGGAGUGGUUGAAAAACAAGUAAGGUAUCAAGGGACCAUCCUCUCAGUCACCAGUGCCAUAUGUUUGGUAAUGGUCCAGCCAGGGUAUAUGAGGUCAUCUUCUGAAUGGAAUGUAGGUACCUCGUAUCUGAAAAGUCUUAAUCUGAAAAGUUUUCAUUUGAAAACAGGGUCCCUACCAAAUGUGUUCCUGACAUGGAUGUAAUGUUUGUUGUUGUCUGGCGCCCUCCACUGUAUGAAGUAGGCUAAGUAGGUUACUGUAUGUCCAAAUUCACAGAUAAGUCACUCUCAGAACCAUCUCUGGUAUGUCUCGAGAGCAUAUCCAAAUGCACAAAACUAGUAGAAAGUAUUUACUACUGUCAUCAUUCUAAUAGCAUUGUUUGGAAAGUCACUCUGCACGGGUCCCACCUGGCUCAGAUCUGUACUCACAGAGAUCAUUAAACGUGGCCUAGCCCUAGUGUGAAUGGCCUCUUAUUUGCCAAUCAAUCUGGCAGAACCCUAUUGCUGCCCUGUACAGUAUCUAGAAAAGCCAAGCAGAGGUGGUUCUUCAAGAAAGAUAGUCAUACGAAACAGGAACCCAUUUCGACUCUGUUAAAAAAUGGAACCGUGGAAAGGGAGAGCGAGGACCCACAGAACAGGUUUUUCCUUUGAUGAAGAUGGAGCCCUGCAGAACCUCAAUCUGCAGCCCGGGGAUUCUGGAGAGAACCUGUGUAAUGGGGAAACGGCAGCUAAAGUAACAGUGUUGACAGAUCACCUCAAAAUCCAGAGUACCACUGCUGUUAUGAAAACAGGUAACACACAGCAACACUAUGCAAUUCUUAUCACAAGUAUAAAAAUAACACCAAAAUCUAGGGUUUUAACUUUGUGCUGUGAAAGUAAAUUCUAUGACCUAUAUUCUUCACCUAUUUUCAGAUGUUGUUGGGAGAGAGAACAAAGAGACAGGCCCUACAAAUGGUAGGUGGUCCAUGGACAUUCAGACACAAAUUAUACUGACUAAAAAUGAUUUCAAAUUGCGGUUUUUGCUCUUUGUGGUGAAACUAAAAUGGCAGUGUGUGUUGGUCAAAAUUGAGGGUCUUGAAAAACAAGAACAUAAGUGCCACCCAGCUUUAUGUUUGCCGUUAGCAACCCUCCGUAAAACUCUGUUACAUUAUGUACCUCUGAUGUUGUUUGUACAAGCAUUAGGUCCAUAUUAAGAUAUUACAUUGGCCUAUGUGGUCAUGCAACAACCUUUUUACAAACAUGUGACAUGAUUGCUGUAUUUCCUAUAGUGACAGGACACGAGCAGGAAGGAGCUCCAGACUAGGUGCUUGUCAAAUCUAGGUAAAGAACACUGUCUAAUUGUUUGCUAACAGAAAAGUCCCAAAAGUAGGGUUUGUGUGCAUUCUCCCAACAAGUAUUGCUCUCAUUGAAAACAAAUGAUUGUUUCAUAUUUUGUCUUAUAGGAUCUAUGAUUACACAAGGUGAUGGGGAAGGAGUGAGUACAAAUGAAUACAUCUCACUGUAAACUGAAAGUAUUGCUGAAAUGAAUGUUUGUGUCUCAGGGCCCUCUCAUGUGGAAGACACUGAGGUUCAUUUUGCAUCUCUGGGUCGGCAGAACUGGAGGGAAAGAUUGAGGGUACAGGGAGACCUGCAUCACGUCAUCUAUUCCGCUGUGGUCACUGCUAGACCAGCAUUCCAGGGUUUGAAGAGAAUAACUCAUUGAUUAACCAUACAGUUCGUAUUUGACUAGUGUUGCACAGGUGACAUCUUCCUGGGCCAAUCCUUGCACUCCCUGAGCAGUGGGGCGGGCCAUACCAGUGUGCUUCAGACUGCCGUAUUGCAGACCCACUUCCUGUGAAAAACAUAUCCAUCAUAAUUAGAGAUGAAAUAUUACCAUCAUGCCAUCCAAACCUCUCGGGCGUACAUUUACAGUUAGAUAAUGUUUAGACCUAACUGUUAUGACUCAAUCAUUUACAGAAGUACUUUUACCUUGAGACUUGAAUUCCUGUUCACACAGGUGUUGCACAAACAUGUUGUUUUACCUGAAAGAGGGAACAAUUUAGUUUUGAAGGGACAAUCUGCAGUUCAAACGGUAAGAAAAAGGUAACCCCACCACUGCUUUGGUAAAUAGGUGAGCAAUGGGUCUUGAGAGAUGGAACCACUCUCAAAUUCAUAGGCAGAGCUACGGAUGCAAGGACUGACCAUCCAUGAGAUCAAAUUAUAGUUUUAAUUGUGUUUUGAGGACAUACAGUGUUUGUUACAAUUACAGUGUUUAUAAACAUUGGAGUUAAACAAUCUUAUAUUUGGAGUUUUGAUGGGGUAAGACAGUUGAACUAAGCUCAUGAGGCAUUUAUAUGUGAUAUUCUUCAAGCAUCAAUGGGUACAAAUUAUUAUUAUUCAUUUGAAAGUCAACAUAAUGCAUGAAUCAACUGCAGAUUUGCAAUAGACUAACUUUGGUUUUGGAGCAUAAUGUCUCUUUAAGUAAACUUGUCAAACUUCAGAUACGUUCAAAGUAUUAACUGUUUGAUUGUGUUUACAUUUACAAUUCAACCAUAACAAGAAUGGGGAUUACCAAGAUUUGUACAUUAUCUUUCUAUGUUUACAAUACACUGUCUUACUUGCUUUUCUUGUCACUGCAACAGAAAGUGAAUGUACAGUUAAAAUGACACUCCAAGGCAAGGUCUAUGUAUAGAAAGUACAAGAGCAGACACCGUUGUGCUGAUCACUCACGGGAAGGAUGUUUCUGCUCUCUGUGAAGUCAUUUUUCAUACAGAUUGAUACAUUUUCUGCCUUCUUGCUCUCACUAUGCCAAACGUAAAUCUCAUCUUGGAGGCCCUGUCUACUGUCUCGGGUUGCAAGGUGGAAUCAGCCACCACGGGAACAAUUUCGCUAACACCACAGGACUUUGUCAAUGUGGUCGCACUAAAGGAGUUGGAAUACCCACGUUUGUAGACAUUUUCUUCACCACGUGCCUUAGCUUUACCAGAUGCUUUUCCACUCCACAAACCACUGUGUCUGUGAACGUGAAUGAGUUCCUUGAUUCUAGGUAUGACUACGACUUUACAAAUGUUAAGGAUUGGGAAACAAUGUUUACUUGGGGGAAAGGAGCUGUAUGCCAGACACUGUGGCUGGAACCGCAUUGCCCUGAAGGUUUUUAACAAAUACAGGGAUGGAGAUGGAUGGUUGGGGACCGGAGACGAGGCUUGGCCAGUGUCCUUCUACAGACCUGCUAUGGACGGAUCCCAGGGCAUCAUCAGGAAUGAUGGAGCUGGUGCUACUUUAGGAAGAGGAGUCUACUCAACACCGGACAUUAACAUAGCUGAGUAGUUCUCUAAGAGAUUCACGUCCAAAGUAGAUAACAAAACCUACAAGGUGGUGCUACAGAAUAGGAUCAACCCCCAGGAAAGGAGAGUUACUGACCGGUCUAUGUGCCUGAGGAAUCAUCUCCGGUUCAAGAGAACUAUUGUGGAAAACUCCACCUGUCCUUAUGGUCUGCUGCUUAAGGAAGUGUUGUAAUCCAUUAAGACAGUGUUUGAAAGAUAAGUAAAUAGGUUGAUCAGAAAAUGAAGAGAUGUAUCAUCAGAUCAAUUUAACUAGGCAGUCAGUUAAGAACAAAUUCUUAUUUUCAAUGACGACCUAGGAACAGUGGGUUAACUGCCUUUACAGAUUUUUACCUUGUCAGCUCAGGGAUUAAGUAACCAGGUUUAUUUGUUAUAGUCAUAAGAUUAACAUAAGAUUGAGUUUUUAUCCAGUGUAGAUAUAGCCUUUACCUGAUAGGCCACUAUUAUGGAUGUGUGUUCAAGGGUAAUAAAAUGA